GUGUCUUUCGUAGACGAGUUAGCAGGAACACCAAGGAAUUCUAGGCCCCUCAACCCAGAUGCUGUACCCUUUGCAUUUCCAGGGAAUGAUGACUUCCAGCAGAUGCUUCAUGAAGUCUGUGAAUUGAGCCCCAUAAAUGUUAUUGCAACAUCCGCAGAGACGUCCACACGUAUCAGUGCUCCUAUUAGUAAUUUGGCUGACCAGAUAUCAGAAGCUACAGUGACCUGUGAAGAUCCAAUGACGUCAACACUUGAUAUCUCC